rnacentral:misc_RNA from 1 species
UCUCCGUAGGUGAACCUGCGGAGGGAUCAUUAAGAAUUGAACAGCAGUGUCUGGCACUGUUGCCCAUUCUAACCCUUUGUGGACCCAUCUCGUUGCUUCGGGGGCGACCCUGCCGUUCCGGCACCGGCGCCCCCGGAGGACUUCCAACCCUGCAUCAUUGCGUCGGAGUAUUUUUUGUAAAUCUAAACAAAACUUUCAACAACGGAUCUCUUGGUUCUGGCAUCGAUGAAGAACGCAGC